rnacentral:rRNA from 1 species
GACGAACGCUGGCGGCGUGCCUAACACAUGCAAGUCGAGCGGAAGACUUCGGUCUUCAGCGGCGGACGGGUGAGUAACACGUGGGUAACCUGCCUCAUAGAGGGGGAUAGCCUCCCGAAAGGGAGAUUAAUACCGCAUAACAUCAUGCUAACGCGUGUUAGUAUGAUCAAAGGAGUAAUCCGAUAUGAGACGGACCCGCGGCGCAUUAGCUAGUUGGUGAGGUAACGGCUCACCAAGGCGACGAUGCGUAGCCGACCUGAGAGGGUGAUCGGCCACAUUGGAACUGAGACACGGUCCAGACUCCUGCGGGAGGCAGCAGUGGGGAAUAUUGCACAAUGGGCGAAAGCCUGAUGCAGCAACGCCGCGUGAGUGAAGAAGGCCUUCGGGUUGUAAAGCGCUGUCUUAUGGGACGAUAAUGACGGUACCAAAGGAGGAAGCCACGGCUAACUACGUGCCAGCAGCCGCCGUAA